AUACGUAGGGUGCGAGCGUUGUCCGGAAUUACUGGGCGUAAAGAGCUCGUAGGUGGUUUGUCGCGUCGUCUGUGAAAUUCCGGGGUUUAACUCCGGGCGUGCAGGCGAUACGGGCAUAACUUGAGUACUGUAGGGGAGACUGGAAUUCCUGGUGUAGCGGUGAAAUGCGCAGGUAUAAGGAGGAACACCGGUGGCGAAGGCGGGUCUCUGGGCAGGAACUGACGCUGAGGAGCGAAAGCAUGGGUAGCGAACAGGAUAGAUACCCUGGUAGGCCAUGCCGUAAACGGUGGGCACUAGGUGUAGGGGACUUCCACGCCUUCUGUGCCGUAGCUAACGCAUUAAGCGCCCCGCCUGGGGAGUACGGCCGCAAGGCUAAAACUCAAAUGAAUUGACGGGG
rnacentral:rRNA from 1 species